rnacentral:piRNA from 1 species
UCCACACCAAAUGACCGACCGACUGAUAG